ACAAAAUGAUGCUUUUACUAAAGUGGUAGAAAAGGAAAGGGAACUCAGGAAAGAAAGACUGAAAGGCAAAGAAUGGCAGUCAAGAAAUGAAGCUCUUCAUGGAGCUUGGACAACAGAAAUACGGACUAUUUUCGUUAAUGCCCAACUCAAGAGGAGAAGUCAGUUUCAUAGUGUGUGCACUGUGUGCAAGAAAAGUGGCCGAAUCCUCGUAUGCUGUUAUGAUUGUAAGCAACAUUUAUGCUGGGAAUGUGAUUAUGCAUUCCAUUUUUUCAAUCCACUUCAUGCCAGAGUUUAUAAAACAAGUAAAAACUACUCAACUGAGCAACUAUUACCAAUCGAGUUUAUGAACGAGUUUGGUCAAAAAAUUGAGAAAGACGUUCCUGUAACUUGCUUCCCUCCUUCCAGGUGUUGGAGUUGUAGCUGGACACUUGUGUAUUAAAUACCGGAACCAACGAUGUUAUACUGUUAUCACAGUUAAAAAGGAAGGUUCGAUUUAAAGUCUGCCAGUUUCAGCUGCACUUCUUGCGUGUAGGGAGGCCCUCGAUGAAGAGUACGUUUAUUCAGAAUGGCUACCAGGUAAACCAGGAAAGGAUAAGGAAGAACCUGCUAAUCUCUUUUUUGAUGAACAUCUUUUGGAUACCUGUACGAAAUUCAAAACAAUACUCCUGGAACAUCACAAGAAAUGUUUCUGAGAAGUCUUUCUCAAAUGUCUACUCAAAAUGGCCAGCCAAGUUACAUCAAUCCAAUUCUGUUUUUUAAAGCCUAUGAUGAGAAUAAUCUAAUGAAGUGCAUUCAUCUCGUUCAGUUCUUACAAUAAUAAAUCAGUGAACAAUU